rnacentral:snoRNA from 1 species
ACGCGGCUUAGUUAGGAAGCGCACAAUAAUCGGAUCCAAAUUCGCGUUUGGAUCCGUUCAGAGAAAGGCCAUUUGAAGGGACUCUUUGCGUUUCUUAUCAAUUAUUCCGCAACCAGCCUUUCACAUUU